CUGGAAGAUGGAGAAUCAAUCAAGACUUUCAAAUCAGGGCUGACAGGGAACAGCUGAAGCCCCUCAUCUCUGGUCCCAUUUGCAGCUUCUCCAAGGCCUUAACACACUUUGCAAAGUGGAUACACAACUCCAGUAGGGCACUCACUCUUGGUUGACAUAUUUACAUGGAUAUGAAACUGUCGGCUAUGAAUGAGGAUUGGAGGUGGUUUGUGCAGAACCUCAAUGCCUACAUGAAUGAUCGGACUGAAAGUUUUUCUUCAGGAUCCUUGAAGAUAAGCACUUCCACCAGUCUGACAAACACAUGGUACAGACACAAAUGAAAUAACAGGAAACAACAUCACCACCAAUUGUAAAACUCCACGAGUGAUAGUGAACCAGCCACCAUCACUUCAGCAUCAAGGUGAACACUGGUUCUAGUGAGAAGCAUCCAGCUUGGUGAUCACUCUAAAUCAAGAAUCUGAAUUGGCAGCUGCAUGAAUUGGCCCAAAAGGAAGACAAUCUCUAUCCAGAGAAAAGCAGCAAAAAUAUCCAUCUGUUUGAAAGAUGUAUUAAGCAACCUGAUUAUUUCUUACUGAUUCUUCUGAUCCCGAUAUUCUAGUCUAUUCCAAAAGUGCAAUUUAGGGAUUUAUAUCUGCUGUCAAUUUACAGAAAUUUCUUUCAAUUGUUGGUUUCUAAAGGACCUCCCAUCAUUCCUGGUAUGGUUCUCGCCUCAUAGGCAACACAUGAUAGCUGAGGAUAAACAUCAGAUCUACCUGAGUAAGUAAAUUUAGUAACUGUACUCCAGGUCCCAGUCUACCUACAAAUAUAUGUCCUUAACCACUGCCCGCAGUUUGUCAAUGAGGAUAACAUUGGAACUAUUAUGUAAUAAAACACUAUUUAUUCAGCAACUGUGAUUUAGAAUAAAAACGUUCUUUGCUUCUUCCUCACAAUUAUAAACAUUCUUCCAGUAAUGUCUCAUUAAUCCUUGAAAAUAAAAGUUUACAGAAUCCACAGAAUAGAAUCCAACAGCACAGAAGACCAUUUAGCCCACUGUACCUCACCUGCUCUUUAGAAGAUCGAUCCAAUUUCAGACACUCUCUCUGCUCUCUCCUGACUGUCUUCAAGAAUUCAUCCAGUUUUCUUUUAAAAGUUAAAACUGAACACCAACCUUUCAGGCAGAACACUGCAGAUUGUAAAAAC